GACGAACGCUGGCGGCGUGCCUAAUACAUGCAAGUCGAGCGAAAAGGCGCGGAGCUUGCUCUGCUGACGUUAGCGGCGGACGGGUGAGUAACACGUGGAUAACCUGCCUAUAAGAGUGGGAUAACUUUGGGAAACGGGAGCUAAUACCGGAUAAUAUAUUGAACCGCAUGGUUGAAUGGGGAAAGACGGCGUUGCUGUCUCUUGUCGGUGGAUCCGCGCUGCAUUAGCUAGUUGGUAAGGUAACGGCUUACCAAGGCCACGAUGCGUAGCCGACCUGAGAGGGUGAUCGGCCACACUGGAACUGAGACACGGUCCAGACUCCUACGGGAGGCAGCAGUAGGGAAUCUUCCGCAAUGGUCGCAAGCCUGACGGAGCAACGCCGCGUGAGUGAUGAAGGUCUUCGGAUCGUAAAACUCUGUUGUUAGGGAAGAACAAAUGCUUAAGUAACUGUGCACGUCUUGACGGUACCUAAUCAGAAAGCCACGGCUAACUACGUG
rnacentral:rRNA from 1 species